UCAAAUGCAACUGGUCUUUACUGAGAUGGGCAAGGUCUCAUUCCCAUUCAAGGCUGGGCAUGGACAGGGUGCAAAAGUUGAUAUUCAUUGCUGCUCAUUCAAAAAUCGAAAGGCGGGAUUUUUCCAAUGACGAAGAUAAGGAUGCUGAGCUCUUUGACUUGGAUAAUGGUGAGGACAAUGUGCUCAAUGAGGUUUUUGUUGAUACAUCCUCUGCAAGCGUUUGACGAGGACAUUGUUAGACCGGCAAGAUCUCCAUAGGUUGCUACUAGUCGAGAAUUUUUCAUUUCACAAAAUGCCAGACUAUUGUUGGGAUCAAAUGUGGGCUCGGAACCAGGUUUUGCUAUCACAUCCAACAACCUGAGAAAACACGGUGUCGACCUUUCUAUCUGGAGUAGCACUUCCAGCUGUUACUGUAUCAUACCUAUCUUCUGCAUUGUGUGCUUUUUGGCAGGGUCGAGCCCCACCACGAAUGAAGUGCGAGUCUAUUUUCCAAAAUUUUGUGGCGCUUCAAUUAAAUCAUAUCAGGGUAGCUUCUCCUUUAAACAUUCCAAAGCUUGUGAUGUUCAUGCAGAGUAUUGGAUGAUGCUCUUCAUCAUUGCAAAAAGGUUGUGAGAGGACCCCAGAGGCAUGAGCCAACACAAAAGAAGCUCGAAAGCGAUUUUUUAACAAAGAGGAACUAAUUUUCCGGAUUCCAGUUCGCUUUGAGAAGUGGGAAACUAUCAUUACUGGGUAAUUGCUAUAGUACUCGAGUAGUAUUAUUCAACAUGUUCAUAGUUCAUAAAGUGUCUGUACAAAAAUGAGCUAACUUGUACAUGAUUUAUGAGAUUGAAAAUAUGUUUCAUGUU